rnacentral:sRNA from 1 species
ACAGUCAGGGUCCAGGUGAAUAGCCCCGAUUUGAAGAUCGGGGCUUUUUGUUAUCUGCACGUUAGCAUCCAUUAGGAUGCACAUUCACUGGGCUGCGAGCCCUUUUUUU